rnacentral:rRNA from 1 species
AGUGAACGCUGGCGGUAGGCCUAACACAUGCAAGUCGAACGGCAGCACAGUAAGAGCUUGCUCUUACGGGUGGCGAGUGGCGGACGGGUGAGGAAUACAUCGGAAUCUACUUUUUCGUGGGGGAUAACGUAGGGAAACUUACGCUAAUACCGCAUACGACCUACGGGUGAAAGCAGGGGAUCUUCGGACCUUGCGCGAUUGAAUGAGCCGAUGUCGGAUUAGCUAGUUGGCGGGGUAAAGGCCCACCAAGGCGACGAUCCGUAGCUGGUCUGAGAGGAUGAUCAGCCACACUGGAACUGAGACACGGUCCAGACUCCUACGGGAGGCAGCAGAGGGGAAUAUUGGAAAAUGGGCGCAAGCCUGAUCCAGCCAUACCGCGUGGGUGAAGAAGGGCUUCGGGUUGUAAAGCCCUUUUGUUGGGAAAGAAAAGCAGCAGGUUAAUACCCCGCUGUUCUGACGGUACCCAAAGAAUAAGCACCGGCUAACUUCGUG